rfam:Ktedonobacter racemifer DSM 44963 strain SOSP1-21 Krac_Contig204, whole genome shotgun sequence.
GAGAGCGUAGUGCAUCGAAAGGUGCAUGCUGCGUUCGGAGGGGAGGGGUUGGUGCUCCUGAACAUCAGGACCCGGCCUCUUACCCUAC